UAUUUGGACGCAAAAGUUCUAUUAAACUAUUUACGGGUUUAGGGGAUGUUUUGAGAAUUACUAGACUACCAAGAAAUGAUUUUCCAGUUAUAGGAAAUGAACAAAAUGUAAAUUUUCUUUUUUACAACAAAAACAAACUGAUAUUCAUUAAAAGCACAUGCCUCAAAAUGGUUGAAACAAAGUCAAAUCAUUAGAUAAAAGAAAAGACAGACCGGCAUAAACAACCAAUCUGUAAACAAAGCACAUAGAAAAUAGCAAAACCACCUUAAGCCAGAUACAAAUUGUCACUCACCUUCCUUCAGUGUAUAUCCACAGUAAAGCCGAAAAACAGAAGAAAAUUAAAAGCCUUGAAACCCAGCCAUGGAGAUUCUUUGAACCUUCUCCAUUUUCAAAGCAUUCUAAAAAAAAACUUAGCAAUUUUGAAACCAUACUGUCCAAUCUUCAUCCACCAUCUUUUGCACCGAUUCUAGAGCUCCAUCAACCCAAAAGCAAGGUGUUUGGCGUUGCCGUCCUUCCAAUGCCAGCGUAUGGACGCCCUAUUAAUCGCUCGAGGAACAAAAAGAGAAUCCCCUUCGCCGAAAGCCCAUAUCAAACGCAAAAAACAAAGCCCUUUUACAUAUCCCAGCCUCAGCGACAAAAACAUCAACAACGUUCUCUAAAGGAUAAGUACAUGCCCCUAAAAUUUUACCUUCAGAAUUUCGAGCUAAGACUGCUGCAAUGGAAGUUCUAGAGACUCUUUGAAACGCAGCGUCAAAAUUUAGCUUAAUAGUACUAGUAUUUGGGGGUCGCCAUAGCUCCUUUAACAUGGGUCUAGAAAAAACCUAGAGAUUCCCUUAGCUUAAGAUAAUUUCUUGACUAUAGCCUUGAACAAAACCUAGAAGUUCCUAUAAUGAGAACUUAACACCUUUAUGUAUUAGUUUAUAUCUUUAAUACCAUAAAGCCCAUAAAGAAAUAACUAGAAUUUGUUUGUUACUUUCAUCUGCUGCAUAAAAAGUGUUAACAAACCGAGUUUUGAAAUUCGAGGUACUCCCAACUGGAGAUAGCGUAAUGUGAAGAGAAGCCCAUAGUUGCUGUGAAAUGCCACAUGACCACAUCAAGUGGUCAGAGUCUUCCGGAGCUUCCUUACAAAGUGGACAGGCUACAUCAACAUUUAAUUUUCUUUGGAAAAGAUUACAGAAAUGAGGCACAAGAUUAUUGAAUAGCCUCCACAUAUGUAUUUUAAUUUUAGUUGGAAUGUGCAUAGUCCAAAAUGUUUUGUAGAAAUCCUUGUAAUUAUCUGCAGUAGGGAGGUUAUAAUUAUUGCUCUGUAAUUGUUCUGUAACUCAAACUCAAUACCCACUUUUUACGGAGUACUCCCCAAUAGCCUCGUAAUUCCAAACUAGCAAAUCAGCCGAUCUAGAGCCAGAAAGCGGAAUGGAAAAGAUACGAUUCGCUUGAUCAUCAUCAACAAUUCCACUGAUAGACUCCUUAUUCUAGGUAUUUGUCUCCGCAUCAAUUAACUGGUUCACUAUAGUCCAAGAAGGAUUUAUGUUCUGUAUUGAUAAUCUGUUAUUCCCUAUACCAGGCAGCCAUGGAUCAUUCCACAUGUUAACAAUA